rfam:Clostridium sp. CAG:413 genomic scaffold, scf218
UAUAAUCAAGCUGUUCUUUUUAAGACAGCAGGUGCUUUUCGCAUAAUGGUUUUUACCGCCUGCCGAGAGAGGAUGCAUACUUUAGAUAUUAUAUCGGUAUGUUUACGCCCUUUCUGCGGUAUGCGGAAAGGGCUUUAAUUUAUGUAUA